rnacentral:rRNA from 1 species
CAGUAGCCACGGUAAUACAGAGGGUGCGAGCGUUAAUCGGAUUUACUGGGCGUAAAGCGUGCGUAGGCGGCUUUUUAAGUCGGAUGUGAAAUCCCCGAGCUUAACUUGGGAAUUGCAUUCGAUACUGGGAAGCUAGAGUAUGGGAGAGGAUGGUAGAAUUCCAGGUGUAGCGGUGAAAUGCGUAGAGAUCUGGAGGAAUACCGAUGGCGAAGGCAGCCAUCUGGCCUAAUACUGACGCUGAGGUACGAAAGCAUGGGGAGCAAACAGGAUUAGAUACCCGCGUAGUCCCUGUCUCUUAUAC